rnacentral:rRNA from 1 species
GUCUUUUAAUUGAAGGCUUGUAUGAAUGGUUGGAUGAAAAAUAUACUUUCUUUAUUUUAUAUAAAAAAUUUAAUUUUUUAGUCAAAAAGCUAGGAUUUUUUUAUAGGACGAGAAGACCCUAUAGAACUUUAUUUUCUUUUUUUAUAAAUUUUAUAGGUAAAUAUAAGUUUAUAUAUUUUUGUUAAUUUUGUUGGGGUGAUUGAAAAAAUUUUUUAACUUUUUCUAUUUUUUACAUUUAUAUAUGUUUUUUUGAUCCUUUAUUAGGGAAUAUAAGAUUAAGUUACCUUAGGGAUAACAGCGUUAUUUUUUUGGAGAGUUCUUAUCGAUAAGAAAGUUUGCGACCUCGAUGUUGGAUUAAAUUAAGUAAUAGGAGUAGAAUAUUAUUUACUAGGUCUGUUCGACCUUUAAAUUUUUACA